CCUACGGGAGGCAGCAGUGGGGAAUUUUGGACAAUGGGCGCAAGCCUGAUCCAGCCAUGCCGCGUGCGGGAAGAAGGCCUUCGGGUUGUAAACCGCUUUUGGCAGGAACGAAACGGCGCGAGCGAAUAUCUCGCGUUAAUGACGGUACCUGCAGAAUAAGCACCGGCUAACUACGUGCCUGCAGCCGCGGUAAUACGUAGGGUGCAAGCGUUAAUCGGAAUUACUGGGCGUAAAGCGUACGCAGGCGGCUUUGCAAGACAGGUGUGAAAUCCCCGGGCCUAACCUGGGAACUGCAUUUGUGACUGCAUAGCUAGAGUCUGUCAGAGGGGGGUGGAAUUCCACGUGUAGCAGUGAAAUGCGCAGAGAUGUGGAAGAACACCGAUGGCGAAGGCAGCCCCCUGGGAUGAGACUGACGCUCAUGUACGAAAGCGUGGGGAGCAAACAGGAUUAGAUACCCUGGUAGUCCACGCCCUAGACGAUGUCUACUAGUUGUCGGAGGGUAACUCCUUCGGUAACGCAGCUAACGCGUGAAGUAGACCGCCUGGGGAGUACGGUCGCGAGAUUAAAACUCAAAGGAAUUGACGG
rnacentral:rRNA from 1 species